rnacentral:tRNA from 1 species
GUCCCUUAGUCGACUGGUUAAGGCGCAUGCCUGCUAAGUACAUGUGUUUCCCCUGCGAGAGUUCAAAUCUCUCCAGACA